UAAAAAAUUAAUGAAGUUUUGUUGGACUAUGUAACAACUAGUUGGAGUGGUUAAUCUGUUCCUUUACAUGAUAAUGUAUACUCAGAUGCAUCUUGUAAUGUGGUUGGAGUGUGUAAUUCGUCUUUUUUCAUGACAAAAUGGUUACUCUGAUGCAUUUUCAAUUGCAAGUUUCCAAAUAUAUGCAAAGUAAAGUAAGUAAAGAAAACAAUACUUUUCAAUUAGUAAAUUUAGUAUUAUUAAUUAAUUUUAAUUUUUUACAUUUUUUAUCCUUAUUUUUAUAACAUGAUCAAUUAAAAUGCACUAGAACUUUGUUCUGGUGCAUUUUAAUUGAACUAAGUAUAGAAUUUUAAUUUAUUAACCUGGGUAAAUAAAUUUCCAAUUGAGAGAGUUGGCACAUGUAUUAAAGUUCUGUCACAGUUGACUCAGCAAGAAUGAAAACAUUGAUACACUUUUGCAUUAUGGAAUACACAAGUUGGCAGUUCCUUGCCCACUGCCACCCAAAUACAGGUAUAAGAAAUCCUUAUCUGUACGUAACA
rnacentral:lncRNA from 1 species